GACUAAUUUUAUUAUUAACAAAUCAAAAAGAAAAAGCUAUCAUUUUUCUCUUCUCCUUCACCGAAAUAUGCAGUAAAGAAAGGGUUUUGAAGCUGGAAAAUUUCAGCAAUAUAUUUCCCUUGCUUAUCAAGGAAAUCGAGAUUUGGACCUAGAACGGAAAGAAAUCGAUUAAGGGAUGAUUAUGUCCUUUUCACAUUUGUGGUAUCGAGAGUUUCCAGGUUAGCUCGAGUUGGAGGCCGUCAGAGAUAUUAUCACACUGUCGAGUUAACGCUAUCGGUCUCAAGAGCAUAGGGGGGCAAUUUCAGAUAAGGGAAAAGAGAAAGUAACCGAGUAGCCACUCCGCAACUGUACCAAAUAUCCGAGAUUUUGUUCGUCAGCUACCGGACUCGGAAGUGUCAAAGUCGAAGUCAUCCACACUAUCUAAGCCACUUUUUGGUACUCUUUUAGUUCAAUUUUGAAAAUGGCGUGUAUAGGACUGACCCUUGUUGUUAAUUAAGUACCCUUUGGUAAUGUGUAUUCGUAUAGCCAUGCGAAAAUGGCUCGUAUAUUUCGAAGUAUAACAUUAUGGUCUUGUGAUAUGGUUAUUAAGUAGUGUGGAAAUGUUUGGUAA